CCGACGGUGAGAGAUGAAAGCUGGGGGAGCAAACCGGAUUAGAUACCCGGGUAGUCCCAGCUGUAAACGAUGCGCGUUAGGUGUGUCAGUGACCACGUGUCACUGAUGUGCCGAAGGGAAACCGUGAAACGCGCCGCCUGGGGAGUACGGUCGCAAGGCUGAAACCUAAAGGAAUUGGCGGGGGAGCACCACAACGGGUGGAGCCUGCGGUUUAAUCGGACUCAACGCCGGAAAUCUCACCGGAUAA
rnacentral:rRNA from 1 species